GACGAACGCUGGCGGCGUGCUUAACACAUGCAAGUCGAACGGAAAGGCCCUGCUUGCAGGGUGCUCGAGUGGCGAACGGGUGAGUAACACGUGGGUGAUCUGCCCCUUACUUUGGGAUAAGCCUGGGAAACUGGGUCUAAUACUGGAUAGGACCAUGCUGUAGGUGGUGUGGUGGAAAGAUUAGUUUCGGUAAGGGGUGAGUUCGCGGCCUAUCAGCUUGUUGGUGGGGUAAUGGCCUACCAAGGCGUCGACGGGUAGCCGGCCAGAGAGGGUGGGAGGCCACAUUGGGACUGAGAUACGGCGCAGACUCCUACAGGAGGCAGCAGUGGGGCAGAGUGCACUAUGGGCGCAAGGCUGAUGCAGCGACGCCGCGUGGGGGAGGACGGCCUUCGGGUUGUAAGCUCCUUUCGGCCAUGACGAAGCCCUUGUGGUGACGGUAGUGGUAGAAGAAGCACCGGCUAACUACGUG
rnacentral:rRNA from 1 species